UUACACUGAGAAGCUGUUCUCGAAGUGCAGAUGGCGCGAUUGCUCCUCAAUAAACGGUACAUUUGAAAAGUGUAUGUUUCGCGCGCGAAUAAUUACCGCGAGUGUCUCGUAAAAUAUCGGUCGUUUGUGUAGUGUAUUAAUUAAAUGUGUAAUUGCUAUCGUAUACGCCGCGUAAAGCAUCGCGAAUAAGCCAUCUGUUUGCGAAGAAUAUUCAACCCUUCUCUUGACAUAUCUCAAGUUAGCUCUUCUCUCAGAUUGAGCGCAAAUUGCAGCGGAUGCAGAAUCAUUAUCAAAUCAAUUCUGAUAGUGUCUGAGAGGAGGAGGAGGCCUAGGAGAGGCAUCGGGCGUCGACAGAGCAACCACACGAUCAACGUAAUCAACUUCGCUGUUAUGCAUCGAUCAGUAAUCCAGUGAUUAUAACGACAAGAACUUCUAAUGUAAAGGUAAGAUUAUUUAAAAAAUGUAAGCAAUAAUUUGUAAGGAGCAAUAAUUUGUAAGGAGCAUAAAAUAUUUGAUAUUAGUCGAUUAUUCGGCGGUGAAUUUCUAUGAUUACGUUUCUUUAUUUUGCAUUAUGUCAGAAAUAAGAUUUUGUAAUGUCGAUUAGACAUUUGAAUUCUGCAUAUAGCUUAAGGUUUAUAAAAACAUUUUUAG